AUUGAACGCUGGCGGCAGGCCUAACACAUGCAAGUCGAGCGAGCGGCGGACGGGGGAGAAAAGUCUGGGAAAAUGCCUGAGGGAGGGGGAUAACUACAGGAAAAGGUAGCUAAUAACGCAUAUCAUCAGAUGUGCCCAGAUGGGAUUAGCUAGUAGGUGGGGUAACGGCUCACCUAGACGACGAUCCCUAGCUGGUCUGAGAGGAUGACCAGCCACACUGGAACUGAGACACGGUCCAGACUCCGACUGGAGGCAGCAGUGGGGAAUAUUGCACAAUGGGCGCAAGCCUGAUGCAGCCAUGCCGCGUGUGUGAAGAAGGCCUUCGGGUUGUAAAGCACUUUCAGCGGGGAGGCGUUACCCGCAGAAGAAGCACCGGCUAACUCCGUGCCAGCAGCCGCGGUAAUUC
rnacentral:rRNA from 1 species